GACGAGCGCUGGCGGCGUGCUUAACACAUGCAAGUCGAGCGGUAAGGCUCCUUCGGGAGUACACGAGCGGCGAACGGGUGAGUAACACGUGAGCAAUCUGCCCUUCACAUCGGAAUAACUUCGGGAAACCGAAGCUAAUACCGAAUACGACCAUCGGAGGCAUCUCCUGAUGGUGGAAAGCUCCGGCGGUGGAGGAUGAGCUCGCGGCCUAUCAGCUUGUUGGGGGGUAACGGCCCACCAAGGCGACGACGGGUAGCCGGCCUGAGAGGGUGACCGGCCACACUGGGACUGAGACACGGCCCAGACUCCUACGGGAGGCAGCAGUGGGGAAUAUUGGACAAUGGGCGAAAGCCUGAUCCAGCAACGCCGCGUGAGGGAUGACGGCCUCGGUUGUAA
rnacentral:rRNA from 1 species